CGUUAUUUUCACGUAAAUGAUACCAUUUCCCCGCUAUGCGUGAUCUGAAAAGACGCGGAAAACAGAAACAGUAGAUUUACACCAGGUGCAUUUGUUUUUUAAAAUCAAGGCGGGGGGGUGUCAACUAAGGAGUGAUAUACUAAGCUAUUAUUUCUCUACAAACUGGGGUUCGGUAGCAAGAGCAGUGAAAGCCGUACGGAACCGGCCCUUUCCGUCCACACAGGUGCUGAAUCAUUUUCUCUGAGCGGAGUGGGAGCGCGCCACUUGUCAGGACAGUUGGGGAAAGGUGCCCGGCGGAUUAAGGCAACAGACAAGCAACGAGGGAAUCUGUUUUUCCAGUGGAUCCUGCCAAUGGAAAAAGGACUUCUGAAGUUGUGGACUUGUCUGAACUCCAGCUUUGGUGUUGAUGCCAGAGUUCUUGGAUGAGGAAACUAUGUCUGAGCUGCCGGAUCCAAUCAAAGACUGAAAUAAGCAACGGGCUUCUGAUGACUCCCAGAAUUGUAAUUUCUCUCUGAAGGGUUUGUGAAUGAAAAAUAUUGCCAGCCAUAUCGGUAAACAAAGGAUGUUGUGGCCAUCAAGUCAUCACCUGCUACUGCCAUCACUGACAGAGAGCGGAGGGAACUCAGGAUGCUGACAAGCAGGCAGCCCGGCCUCUGGCGUCACCCCUCAUGGUGCCCUCUAGGGGAACUCAGGGUGGGAAAGAGCAGGACACUGGCCCUGGAGAGCUAGGUCCCCAUCAAAGGAGUGAUUUCAACGAGCCCAGACUUUUGCACCUUCCCAUACAUAGAAAAGCACUAAAUUAGCUUGAGAUAUUUGAUUUUCUUUAAUAAACAGUAAUCUUUUGAUGUUCCAACCACCUGGUCUUUGUGGCAAACCUCCUAUAUAUCCUGGCUCCUCUCCUGCCUCUUUGGAACUGUCUCCUAGAGUGAUCUGAGAGGCUGUCUCCUGAGUCCAAGUUCUCAGAAAGUCCUCCAAAUAAAACAUAACUCUCAACUUUUACGCUGUGCAUUUUUCAGUCUACAGGUUCCUGUCUCUUCUGAACUAAGGUCUUUAAUAAUUACACAGAAUCCAUCUUAAAGCUUUGCUCAUUUUUUUGAACAUAGUGAAAGACCAUCUACAUAUUAUAUUAGAACAGAAGGAUAUCUCAAAUCUUUAAGGUCCUAAUUAAGAAUCUGAGAGACAUAAGAGGAGAGCUUCAUUAAAUCCUCAAGGCAAAACAGUCCAGGUAUAUUUAUUUCCCUUCUCAUGGACCUGCCUGGAUCUGAUAGGAUGCUAAAGAACAUACGUCCACCAUGGCGAAGUGGGUAGUUUCAAGUAGUACUGAAGAUAAAAUAGAAUUUGGGUUAAGGAUCACUGGGAAGAGAGGAAUCACAAUCUUAUUUAUGGUCCCACGGUCUUGCAUGUAUCAAUAUCCAUGCCCAUGAGGCUUUUGAUUCAGCAGUCCUGGAGUUUUAUAAGAGCUGAUGCAAAGAAUAAUGAAUCCCUGCUUUAGAAAGUCUUCUACACGGGGUCUCAAUCCGUCCUUAGCUUCAGGCUUUACAGGGUAUUGAGUGAGAGCAGGUAAGGAUUUAGAAAAGUCAAUUUCUAUUUUGAUGGGUUUGGUCUCCAGAAUUCUUCAGUAGAAUUGUUGUCCCAGAGAAAA